rnacentral:rRNA from 1 species
UACGUAGGUGGCAAGCGUUGUCCGGAUUUACUGGGCGUAAAGAGCGCGCAGGCGGUCGUUCAAGUCGAGUGUGAAAGCCCCCGGCUCAACUGGGGAGGGUCACUCGAUACUGAUCGACUCGAAGGCAGAAGAGGGAAGCGGAAUUCCCGGUGUAGUGGUGAAAUGCGUAGAUAUCGGGAGGAACACCAGUGGCGAAGGCGCCACUCUGGGCCGGUACUGACGCUGAGGAGCGAAAGCGUGGGUAGCAAACAGG